rnacentral:rRNA from 1 species
UACGGGGGGGGCAAGCGUUGUUCGGAAUUACUGGGCGUAAAGGGCUCGUAGGCGGCCAACUAAGUCAUACGUGAAAUCCCUCGGCUUAACCGGGGAACUGCGUCUGAUACUGGAUGGCUUGAGAUUGGGAGAGGGAUGCGGAAUUCCAGGUGUAGCGGUGAAAUGCGUAGAUAUCUGGAGGAACACCGGUGGCGAAGGCGGGUUGCUGGGCCGACACUGACGCUGAGGCGCGAAAGCUAGGGGAGCGAACGGG